GAUGAACGCUGGCGGCGUGCCUAAUACAUGCAAGUCGAGCGAACGGACGCGAAGCUUGCUUCUCUGAUGUUAGCGGCGGACGGGUGAGUAACACGUGGAUAACCUCCCUAUAAGACUGGGAUAACCUCGGGAAACCGGAGCUAAUACCGGAUGAUAUUUUGAACCGCAUGGUUCAAAAGUGAAAGACGGUCUUGCUGUCACUUAUAGAUGGAUCCGCGCUGCAUUAGCUAGUUGGUAAGGUAACGGCUUACCAAGGCAACGAUGCAUAGCCGACCUGAGAGGGUGAUCGGCCACACUGGAACUGGGACGCGGUCCAGACUCCUACGGGAGGCAGCAGUAGGGAAUCUUCCGCAAUGGGCGAAAGCCUGACGGAGCAACGCCGCGUGAGUGAUGAAGGUCUUCGGAUCGUAAAACUCUGUUAUUAGGGAAGAACAUAUGUGUAAGUAACUGUGCACAUCUUGACGGUACCUAAUCAGAAAGCCACGGCUAACUACGUG
rnacentral:rRNA from 1 species